rnacentral:rRNA from 1 species
CCUACGGGCGGCAGCAGUGGGGGAUAUUGCACAAUGGGGGAAACCCUGAUGCAGCGACGCCGCGUGGGUGAAGAAGUAUUUCGGUAUGUAAAGCCCUAUCAGCAGGGAAGAAAGAAGACGGUACCUGACUAAGAAGCCCCGGCUAACUACGUGCCAGCAGCCGCGGUAAUACGUAGGGGGCGAGCGUUAUCCGGAUUCACUGGGUGUAAAGGGAGCGUAGACGGCCGUGCAAGCCAGGAGUGAAAGCCCGGGGCCCAACCCCGGGACUGCUCUUGGAACUGUGCGGCUGGAGUGCGGGAGGGGCAGGCGGAAGUCCUGGUGUAGCGGUGAAAUGCGUAGAUAUCAGGAGGAACACCGGCGGCGAAGGCGGCCUGCUGGACCGCGACUGACGUUGAGGCUCGAAAGCGUGGGGAGCGAACAGGAUUAGAUACCCGAGUAGUC